GAGAGAGACAGAAACACAGAAAAGGAGAGAUAGAUAGAUAGAGAUUCCUGAUACAUUAAGAUACUAUGAAGUUGGCUCUUCGUUAGCAAACAAACAACAUCCGUCUUGACCAUCUGCUGGAUAUACCAUACAAUUUGACAUCAGCUUCCCUGAAUAGCGGUACAUUAGAUUGAAUUAACAUAAUCCUUCCACGCUGACUCUUUUGUACCGGAUCUGAUUCAAACAACAAUGUCUACCAGGCAUGUUUACUUAUCAAUCUAUCUAGUGAUUAACUGUUAACAUCUUGGCUCGAAUGGAACAAUAUUCAUUUUGUGUUCCUGAACGAUUCUGUAGUGGACCCUGAAGAUUUAAUUAAUUUCUGGUAUGUGUAAAUUUGACCUGGUCAUAUAUAAAGGGAGUGAAUUUUCAAUCUUCACAGAGAAAUUACACGUUAAAGGUCGCGUAAGAGGAAAACAAUCUUCAAAAUGAAGUCUGUCUAUCUCAUUACAAUAUUUCUGGUGUUUGGACUUUUAUCUAGCGCCAACUUAGCCUGUGUUGGAUGUAACGAAGGUAUCAUUGACCAUGAUAGCGGAAUCAUUGGGGGCAAUGACGACAGUGUAGGGAACCAUCGUGUCAAAAGAACAGGCAAUGGGAGCGGAUUCGGUAAUCCGGCAUUGCCUUCCGAUGGUGACUGAAGAUGUCGGUGACGGGUCUCUAGCGUGGUGACUCGAAAUACGAACAACCGAUUGACUGACCGAUUACUUUUUCUGCAUCAAAUGAUAAUAAAAUUUGAAAAUCUCUUUUCUGACUGAUUUUUGUUUUGUUUUUUGUUUGUUUUGGUAUUAUGUUUUAAUAUCACCUUUCGGAAAUGAUGAUAGGUCUAGCUUGAAAUGGUUAGACAGUAUACGCAAUAUUGUGAUGUCCGCUUUGUUUAUUUCUCCGUAAUUAUUUUUGUUGAUCAAGUUAGAAACAACGUGGCACUUUGUAUUGAUGAUCCUGAUUGGCUGAAAGAGCGAGCUGCUUGAUAAUUUCUAAAAAAUAAAAACUCUUCA